ACUCAAAUGAAUUGACGGGGACCCGCACAAGCAGCGGAGCGUGUGGUUUAAUUCGAUGCGACGCGAAGAACCUUACCGGGGUUUGACAUGGACCUGAAGUAUUCAGAAAUGGGUAUGCUGUCAAAGGCAGGUUCACAGGUGCUGCAUGGCUGUCGUCAGCUCGUGCCGUGAGGUGUUGGGUUAAGUCCCCCAACGAGCGCAACCCCUAUCGUUGGUUGUAUUUUUCCAGCGAAACUGCCCGCAAGGGAGGAAGGAGGGGAUGACGUCAAGUCAGCACGGCCCUUACAUCCCGGGCUACACACACGCUACAAUGGCUGGUACAAUGGGCUGCCAACCCGCAAGGGGGAGCCAAUCCCAUCAAAGCCAGCCUCAGUUCAGAUUGGCGGCUGCAACCCGCCGCCAUGAAGGUGGAGUUGCUAGUAACCGCAGGUCAGCACACUGCGGUGAAUACGUUCCCGGGUCUUGCACACACCGCCCGU
rnacentral:rRNA from 1 species